rnacentral:RNase_P_RNA from 1 species
UGAGUCAGCUAAGCAGUCGCGUUUUAUCCCUAUCAGCUUUAUCGCUGUAUGAGUGGAUAAACCGAGGAAAGUCCGGGCACUAUAGGGCAGGAUGCUAGGUAACGCCUAGGCGAUGGAAAUUGACGGAAAGUGCCGCAGAAAAGAUACCGCCUAUUGAGCAAUCAAUCGGUAAGGGUGAAAUGGUGCGGUAAGAGCGCACCGCGUCGCUGGCAACAGUGAUGGCAGGGUAAACCCCAUCCAGUGCAAGACCAAAUAGGAAUGUAUGGUGUGGCCCGCAUCGCAUUCGGGUAGGUCGCUUGAGGUAUUUGGUGACGAAUAUCCUAGAUGAAUGACUGUUCACGACAGAACCCGGCUUAUCGGCUGACUCUCCUA